AUUGAACGCUGGCGGCAGGCCUAACACAUGCAAGUCGAACGGUAACAGGAAGCAGCUUGCUGCUUCGCUGACGAGUGGCGGACGGGUGAGUAAUGUCUGGGAAGCUGCCUGAUGGAGGGGGAUAACUACUGGAAACGGUAGCUAAUACCGCAUAAUGUCGCAAGACCAAAGAGGGGGACCUUCGGGCCUCUUGCCAUCGGAUGUGCCCAGAUGGGAUUAGCUUGUUGGUGGGGUAACGGCUCACCAAGGCGACGACCCCUAGCUGGUCUGAGAGGAUGACCAGCCACACUGGAACUGAGACACGGUCCAGACUCCUACGGGAGGCAGCAGUGGGGAAUAUUGCACAAUGGGCGCAAGCCUGAUGCAGCCAUGCCGCGUGUAUGAAGAAGGCCUUCGGGUUGUAAAGUACUUUCAGCGGGGAGGAAGGGAGUAAAGUUAAUACCUUUGCUCAUUGACGUUACCCGCAGAAGAAGCACCGGCUAACUCCGUG
rnacentral:rRNA from 1 species